UACAGAGGGUGCAAGCGUUGCUCGGAAUCAUUGGGCGUAAAGGGCAGGUAGGUGGUCUGAUUUGUCUGGAGGUGAAAGCCUUGGGCUUAACCCAAGAAGUGCCCCGGAAACGGUCAGACUUUGAGUCUUGGAGAGGGUUGCGGAAUUCCUGGUGUAGCGGUGGAAUGCGCAGAUAUCAGGAGGAACACCAAUAGCGAAGGCAGCUCGCUGGGACGGUACUGACGCUAAGGCGCGAAAGCGUGGGGAGCGAACAGG
rnacentral:rRNA from 1 species